UACGGAGGGUGCAAGCGUUAUCCGGAUUCACUGGGUUUAAAGGGUGCGUAGGCGGAUUGGUAAGUCCGUGGUGAAAUCUCCGAGCUUAACUCGGAAACUGCCAUGGAUACUAUUAGUCUUGAAUAUUGUGGAGGUUAGCGGAAUAUGUCAUGUAGCGGUGAAAUGCAUAGAUAUGACAUAGAACACCAAUUGCGAAGGCAGCUGGCUACACAAAUAUUGACGCUGAUGCACGAAAGCGUGGGGAGCAAACAGG
rnacentral:rRNA from 1 species